UACGGAGGAUGCAAGCGUUAUCCGGAAUGAUUGGGCGUAAAGCGUCCGCAGGCGGCAGUUCAAGUCUGCUGUUAAAUACUAGGGCUCAACCCUGGAGCGGCAGUGGAAACUGAACAGCUAGAGUGCGGUAGGGGUAGAGGGAAUUCCCAGUGUAGCGGUGAAAUGCGUAGAGAUUGGGAAGAACACCGGUGGCGAAAGCGCUCUGCUAGGCUGAAACUGACACUCAUGGACGAAAGCUAGGGGAGCGAAUGGG
rnacentral:rRNA from 1 species